ensembl:miRNA MIR101-1 microRNA 101-1
AGGCUGCCCUGGCUCAGUUAUCACAGUGCUGAUGCUGUCCAUUCGAAAGGUACAGUACUGUGAUAACUGAAGGAUGGCAGCC